GUAGGGAAUAUUGGGCAAUGGAGGCAACUCUGACCCAGCCAUGCCGCGUGCAGGAUGACGGCCCUCUGGGUUGUAAACUGCUUUUAUACGGGAAGAAAAAAUACUACGUGUAGUAUACUGACGGUACCGUAAGAAUAAGGAUCGGCUAACUCCGUGCCAUCAGCCGCGGUAAUACGGAGGAUCCAAGCGUUGUCCGGAUUUAUUGGGUUUAAAGGUUGCGUAGGCGGAUCUUUAAGUCAGGGGUGAAAGCCUGCAGCUUAACUGUAGAAUUGCCAUUGAAACUGAAGAUCUUGAAUGUGGUUAAAGUAGGCGGAAUGUAUCAUGUAGCGGUGAAAUGCUUAGAUAUGAUACAGAACACCGAUAGCGAAGGCAGCUUGCUGAACCAUUAUUGACGCUGAGGCACGAAAGCGUGGGGAGCGAACAGGAUUAGAUACCCUAGUAGUCC
rnacentral:rRNA from 1 species